GGUGGUAUAGCUCAGUGGUGGAGAGCAUGCUUAGCAUACAGGAGGUCCUGGGUUCAGUCCCAGUAACUCCA
rnacentral:tRNA from 1 species